rnacentral:rRNA from 1 species
GACGAACGCUGGCGGCGUGCUUAACACAUGCAAGUCGAACGGAAAGGCUCCAGCUUGCUGGAGUACUCGAGUGGCGAACGGGUGAGUAACACGUGGGUAAUCUGCCCUGCACUCUGGGAUAAGCCUGGGAAACUGGGUCUAAUACUGGAUAUGACCUUUCUCCUUAUGGGGUUUGGUGGAAAGUUUUUCGGUGUAGGAUGAGCCCGCGGCCUAUCAGUUUGUUGGUGGGGUGAUGGCCUACCAAGGCGACGACGGGUAGCCGGCCUGAGAGGGUGAUCGGCCACAUUGGGACUGAGAUACGGCCCAGACUCCUACGGGAGGCAGCAGUGGGGAAUAUUGCACAAUGGGCGGAAGCCUGAUGCAGCGACGCCGCGUGAGGGAUGACGGCCUUCGGGUUGUAAACCUCUUUCAGCAGGGACGAAGCGUAAGUGACGGUACCUGCAGAAGAAGCACCGGCUAACUAUGUG